UUAAGCCAUACCUGAAGCUAGCCCUACUCCUAGAAUUUCAGCUAUAAGAGCCAAGCAAUUUCUAUUUGUGCCACAAUAAUUUGUGCCAGGUCAUCUACCUUUUGCAUCUGGAAGAGUCUUGAUGACAUAGCUCAUCACUAUCUCCACCUCCUCUUCCCUGUGGCCAAGUUGAACUUCAUGCUUUAUUUUCCACAAAGUGUCAUACAGCUGUAGAGAAUCUCAGCCCAAGUGGUCCUUCCACCCUAAGCUAAAAAAAGAGGCACUAAUUAGGUUUUCACUCUUUGGCUCUCCCAUUGAACCACAAACCAGCAAGGACCUAAUUAUGCAGUGUCUGUCCUUUUAGACUCAAGUGACAAUGAUAGACUGACCUCAGAGAGAAGUGAAAAGCCCCCAGCCUCAUCCUCGAAGCAACCAGAUUCAUUCAUGGAGUGUGGUGGAAAGAGCAUUGAGCCCUUUGGUUAUAUUCCUAGAACACUCUGGACUGGACCCACAGAGUCUUUUAUCUCCCACUGAACUGGCUUCUAUAUAGCCCACUAUGUCUACAUGGGAGAAUGCCUUGGGUAGAUGAUUCUAGUAAUAAUCCUUCUCCUCCCAGAACCUCUGGACUCAUGCCUUGUAGCCUCCUUCCCCUUUCCAUCUCUGACAUUGUGCAAUCCUAGAGUUCUCUAUCCUGCUGUGUCCAGGUCAAAACUAUUGGAGAAAUCUGGUGUAAUCAAAGGGACUCCAGUUUAAGUACCAACUCCUACUCACACUUCCUGCCCUCAGUAUCCUCAUCUGUAUUGUGCAGAUAAUAACAUCUCCAUCAAUGAAAUAAUGAUGGCAGAGUCUAGCAUGGUGCACGGUUCAUAAGUGUUUAUUCUCACGUUUGCUCUCCACACAGAGGAGUGCUCUUUGGCAGUGGUGAUUGUGUCAUCUCUGUGGCUAAAGUGGGGUCUGGAGGCAUCACCACAAUACCAGCAACUAGA
rnacentral:lncRNA from 10 species